rnacentral:rRNA from 1 species
AAGGAAGGCAGCAGGCACGCAACUUACCCACUCCCGACACGGGGAGGUAGUGACGAAAAAUACCAAUACGGGACUCUGUCGAGGCUCCGGCAUUGGAAUGAGUACACUUUAAAUCCUUUGCUGAGGAUCAAUUGGAGGGCAAGCCUGGUGCCAGCAGCCGCGGUAAUUCCAGCUCCGAUGGCAUAUAUUAAAGUUGUUGCAGUUAAAAGGCUCGUAGUUGGAUCUCAGCCGCACUAGCGAGGUGCACUUGACGGUGUAUCCACGCGACUGUACUACUUUGGCCACGCGUGCCCUGGUGGUCUUCGUUGACCGCCUCGGGCGUGCUGGCGUCUUUUACUUUGAAAAAAAUAGAGUGUUCACAGCGGCCACACUGAUGGUUGUAUAAAGUUGCAUGGAAUAAUGAAAGAGGACCUCGGCUCAUUUCGUUGGCUUCGAUGAGUCCGAGGUAAUGACUAAUCAGAGCGGCCGGGGGCAUUCGUAUUACGACGGGAGAGGUGAAAUUCUACGAUCGUCGUAAGACGGACGGCAGCGAAAGCGUUUGUCAAGAACGUUUUCAUUAGUCAGGAACGAAAGUUAGAGGCUCGAAGACGAUCAGAUACCGUCGUAGUUCUGACCGUAAACGAUGCCAGAUGACAAUCUGUCGAAGUUAGAUCCGCAUGACUCGGCAGGCAGCCAGACCGGGAAACCAAAACGUUUGGGCUCUGGGGGAAGUAUGGUUGCAAAACUGAAACUUAAAGGAAUUGACGGAAGGGCACCACCAGGAGUGGAGCCUGUGGCUUAAUUUGACUCAACACUGGGCAACUCACCCGGUCCGAACAGUUGCGAGGAUUGACAGAUUGAUAGCUCUUUCUCGAUUCAGUGGAUGGUGGUGCAUGGCCGUUCUUAGUUCGUGGAACGAUUUGUCUGGUUAAUUCCGAUAACGAACGAGACUCUAGCCUAUUAAAUAGUUGUGCGAUACUUCGGUAGUCGGCAACAUACAACUUCUUAGAGGGACAUGUGGCGUUUAGGCACACGAGAAUGAGCAAUAACAGGUCUGUGAUGCCCUUAGAUGUUCGGGGCCGCACGCGGGCUACAAUGUUGGUAUCAGCGUGUAUCAUCCUGACCCGAAAUGGUUGGGCAAGCCCAUGAAAUGCGAAUUCAGUCGGGAUUGGGGCCUGUAACGGUGCCUCAUGAACGUGGAAUUCCAAGUAAGCAGGAGUCAACAGCUUCUGUUGACAGAGUCCCUGCCCUUUGUACACACCGCCCGUCGCUACUACCGAUGAACGGUUUGGUGAGACCUCUGGAUUCGCCAGUGGGGUUUCGCGCCUCGUUUGCUGGUGGAGAAGUUGGUCGAACUUGGUCGUUUAGAGGAAGUAAAAGUCGUAACAAGGUUUUC